AUCCCCUUAGCGCAGUUGGUUAGCGCGCUCCCUUCACACCCACACCCACCUCAGGAUGUCCGGUUGCUACGGGAGAGGCCGCCAGUUCGACUCUGGCAGGGGAUA